AUUGAACGCUGGCGGCAUGCUUUACACAUGCAAGUCGAACGGUAACAGGCCGCAAGGUGCUGACGAGUGGCGAACGGGUGAGUAAUGCAUCGGACCGUGCCCAGUCGUGGGGGAUAACGCAGCGAAAGCUGUGCUAAUACCGCAUACGAUCUAUGGAUGAAAGCGGGGGACCGUAAGGCCUCGCGCGAUUGGAGCGGCCGAUGUCAGAUUAGGUAGUUGGUGGGGUAAAGGCUCACCAAGCCGACGAUCUGUAGCUGGUCUGAGAGGACGACCAGCCACACUGGGACGGAGACACGGCCCAGACUCCUACGGGAGGCAGCAGUGGGGAAUUUUGGACAAUGGGCGCAAGCCUGAUCCAGCAAUGCCGCGUGCAGGAAGAAGGCCUUCGGGUUGUAAACUGCUUUUGUACGGAACGAAAAGGCUCUGGUUAAUACCUGGGGCUCAUGACGGUACCGUAAGAAUAAGCACCGGCUAACUACGUGCCAGCCGCCGCAGUAA
rnacentral:rRNA from 1 species